UUGACCUCAGUGUAUAAAUAUGUCUUAAGCAGACAGUUGAUGUUUACCAGAGCGGUUCCCGUUCUCACGCUUGUUUGUGGCGGUUUUCGGUUGUGCCAGAGUGCAUGGGCUCUGUCCAGAAAUUAAAGUGAGUUUGAAGUCCACGCAAAUAUCGGGAAGCUACUUGGACCUGCCAAGAAGUGUGUGUGUGUAUGUCUGUGUGCGUAGGGGGGAUUAGUACAAAUAUUGACUCUCUCUUCACAUCAGCACAUCAAGUGGCCUUCAGCACUCGACUAAUGUAGUCUCAUCCUCAUUAAAGCACACACUCUAUCACUCAGGGUGCCUUUCCCUCUUCGCUUUGGAAGUCUAACUCCGUAGAUCUGGCUCUAUUUCAGUGCACACCCGAUUCUGUUAAACUCAUUUGCAUAUUGGAACGAAAACCUAUCGGUUUCCGAUAUGCAAAUGAUUUCGACUUGAUGAUGUCACAGUAACCGGGAUGGAUUAGCCGCAGCGCUAAGCUGCUUUAAUUUAUGCUAGGUUAUAUUUUGUUACUGUAGCGGUUGCUACGGUAACAUCGCAUUUUGGCUAAUUAGCUAGCUAGCUAAUGUUGGUGAUAUUUGAAAGCACAGGGGAAAAUUGAGGGGAUUUGAACAUUUGUCAUUCUUUGGUUGUGUGUGUGUGUGGAGUUUGUCACACAGCUGAGAGUUCCCUUACGUCCAGUCCGUCCAAACAUACUUCACAUACACACACCACGCGAGCCGCACACACACUUCUCACUCUGCUGAGUGAAUGUCUCACACUGAUGCAGGACUCCAGACUGCUCUGAAAAAAUGACUACGGGUCAUACCCAAGUGCAUGUUCCUAGCCGUCAUUUGACUCCACACACACACACACACACACACACACACACAGGACAGCUGCUCCAGGAUCAGAGCUGUUUAUAUAAACUUUCAUUUUUUCAUGCCAAAAACAUUUUACGAGACUUUUUUAUUUAUUUGUUUUUUAUUUGUUUUUGCAGGCUUUGCCAAAUUUAUUGUUGUUGUUUCCUCAAUCAAGCCCUUGCUUCUGGAAUCUUUAAUUUCCCUCUGGAAUUUGCUUCCGGAAUUCUUCUUUCGCUUCCCGAAUACUUCCUUUUUGCUUCUGGGAAUCCGGUCUUUGCCCAUAUUUCCCGAAAUCCUUCGCUUGCAUCCGGAAUUUCUUCGUUGCCUCAGGUAUCCUUAAUUUGGCUCCGCAAUCAGUUUUGCCAUGUUCAGAAGUGCCAGGAUUUAUCCUUCACUCCCAGAAUCUCGGGUUUUGACUCCGGAAUCUUAUCUCUUGCUCCAGGAUUCCUUUAUGGUGCUUCCAGAAUCUUCAUCUCAUGUCUUCAGAAUCUUUUCCUUUGCUCCGGAAAUUUUGUCUCUUCCUCCAGAAUUUCCUCGUCAGUGCUCCUGGAAGGUUUUCGCUAUCUCGGAAUCUUGCCUUUUGCCUCGGGAUUCUUGUGCUUCACCUAGAAAAAAUGGCUUGUCAUGUCUCUUUCUCGGGGCCUCAUUUGCCUCAAAAGCCUCAGGAAUAGUUCUUCUAUGCAUUUGGGAUCCUUCUGUAAUUUCCCGGAACGUUUCCGACACCCAUUUAUCCUGUUCUCCGAAAACUUUUCCUUCGUUCCAGAACUCCAUUGUUUGCCUGAGUAAUCUCAUCCCUGUCUCAGUGGAACCUUUUCUUUGUUUCCCUGGGAAUCCCUCAUCUGCAUAGGGAAUCUUGUGUGUGCCUCAGGACUAAUUCCCGAGGGCUCCAGGAAUCUUGACCUUUGCCUCUGGAAUCCCGUCUCUGCUUCUGUCUUUUAUCUCUAAUGAUCAAAAAAGAAGACCUUGAGGAAUAAAGCAGCACAAAUUCAGUUACUUUACUUUUAGAUUGUGUGUGUGUGUGUGUGUGUGUGUGCGCGUUGGUGCGGCCGGAUUAUGAGGACAAAAAGCCUGAAUACAUACCGACACUAUAAGGACACACCGUAACUAUAAGGACAUGGCUGAUGUCCUCAUAAGUCGAGCAACGUAGAAAGGCUUAUUUAGGUGCGCUGAACUACCUCUCGCUUUUUGGGAAAAAGUCUCAAUAAUUCCGCUCCACCCAUUUUUCGCGUGCAUCAGUGUAUGCUCAGAGUGUAUAUUCUGCCUCUAUCGGCAAUUCGCGCUACUGCAGCUUCAUUUGCAUAUCAGCCGGUCAGUGCGCGCGUUUCAUUGGUCGAGCUGCGGAAUCCUCGUCAGCGAUUGGCUGCUUUUGAUGUCCGUCAAAGUCAGCGACCUUCUGAACCUGCGGAGGUCAUUGGUCGAGCUGCAGAAUCCUCGUCAGCGAUUGGCUGCUUUUGAUGUCCGUCAAAGUCAGCGACCUUCUGAACCUGCGGAGGUCAUUGGUCGAGCUGCAGAAUCCUCGUCAGCGAUUGGCUGCUUUUGAUGUCCGUCAAAGUCAGCGACCUUCUGAACCUGCGGAGGUCAUUGGUCGAGCUGCAGAAUCCUCGUCAGCGAUUGGCUGCUUUUGAUGUCCGUCAAAGUCAGCGACCUUCUGAACCUGCGGAGGUCAUUGGUCGAGCUGCAGAAUCCUCGUCAGCGAUUGGCUGCUUUUGAUGUCCGUCAAAGUCAGCGACCUUCUGAACCUGCGGAGGUCAUUGGUCGAGCUGCAGAAUCCUCGUCAGCGAUUGGCUGCUUUUGAUGUCCGUCAAAGUCAGCGACCUUCUGAACCUGCGGAGGUCAUUGGUCGAGCUGCGGGAUCCUCGUCAGCGAUUGGCUGCUUUUGAUGUCCGUCAAAGUCAGCGACCUUCUGAACCUGCGGAGGUCAUUGGUCGAGCUGCGGGAUCCUCGUCAGCGAUUGGCUGCUUUUGAUGUCCGUCAAAGUCAGCGACCUUCUUAACCUGCAGAGGUCAUUGGUCGAGCUGCAGAAUCCUCGUCAGCGAUUGGCUGCUUUUGAUGUCCGUCAAAGUCAGCGACCUUCUGAACCUGCGGAGGUCAUUGGUCGAGCUGCGGGAUCCUCGUCAGCGAUUGGCUGCUUUUGAUGUCCGUCAAAGAACGUGCGGACUUGAUGUGUGGUGGAGAGAUUAAUAAUAAUUAAGCUAAAUUAGCUUAAUUGCAGCGAAGUUUUUACCUGUAAUAACGACAGAAGAGUGUCAUCUGCUCAUGCUGAAGGUAAGAACAUUUUUUUAUUUACCUUUAUGGCGGUGUGAGUCAGACAGAUUUUUAGGCUGGAUAGCUUUAAACUAUGUGUAUGCCGGCUAAUAAGGCUAAUAUCUAUUAGGAACUCCAUUAGCAUCAUCCACAACUCCAUUAGUGUCUCCAACACAUUUAUUUUAUGUGCCACGUGGGAGGCAAUUAGAAUAAUUUGUAUUAAUUAAUUUUUUGGUACAGAUGAAAUUCCCAAGUAGUUCAUAGGCAUGUUUAAUGACAUAUUUGACAUAAUAUAGUGAUGAAUGCUUGAGUAAAUUAAUUUAGUCAUAAAUAGUUUGUAUGAACAAUUUGUACACUUUUAUAAUGAUUUUGAUAUCAUAUAUAUAUAUUACAAGUAUAUAACAGAAACUUAGCUAAAGCAAAAUAACUAUUUGUAUUAUCAACUAUUAUUUAUAUGUAAAAUUGUAAAAUUGUGUAAUUAGGGAUACAGAUUUCACUAUAGUCUGACAAUAAUGUGAAGAUAUAAUGUUAUUUAACUAAAAUUUAUAAAGACGUUAUACUUAUGUUCUCUAAACUUUUUCAGUCAACAUGGUAAGAAAAAGGAGAAUAAAACCUGAAGAGGAUGCAAAAGAACACAUAUUGUCAGGCAAAGACAAGGCCUUCAUUGAGGGACGAGAAAUCAACACAUUUAAAGGGAGAGGUGUGUUUGCACUUGAACACAUUGAACCGUCCACCUUUGUUGUUGAAUAUCGUGGGAUUCUCUCUCAAAGUAAACAUGUUAAAGACAUUCAAAGCAGCUACUGGUUAGAUUUCACAUGGAAUGGAAAACGUUAUUGCAUAGAUGCUUCCAAAGGAGAUGGAACACUAGGCCGACUGGUGAAUGAUGAUCACAGAAAUCCAAACUGCAAAGUGAAGACAAUAAUUGUUGAAGGAAGGCCACACCUGUGCCUAUUUAGUAUGAGAUAUCUUUCCAGAUGACGAGGUUACAUACAACUAUGGAGAUUCCUCUUGGCCAAGGUUGCUGUGUGAAGACACAUCAGUGAGAGAGACUGAAUGUAGUAUCGAUACAUCCACUUCAGGGAAAGAGAAGGUGCCCUUUAAAGGCGAUUCAACUACAGUUGCCAAGAAAGGAGUUUCAGCUUGGACUGGAAAUGAAAUAGUAACUUGCACUUUAUAAUUGCCACCAUGAAGUUCACAGUGCUGUUAUCUCCAGUUUGGAUUCUUGUGAAGAGUGCACUGGACCUGUGUCAGGUCGAAAAUGGCUUUGUUUAACUUGCAAAUUAUGUUCAAGAUCAUGGCACAAAACCUGCUUCAUGAAGAAUGCCAGAGGUUGAAUUUUCCGGUUUUGAAGAAACCAGCUCUGAUGAACAGUAUUCUCCAUGCCCUGAACCUUUAAACAAUGAAUCUUCUGAUGACUUCAUUCCGGACUCUCAACAAAACAGUGAUAGUGAUGACAGUCUGUCUGUCAAGACACAGAAACUACCAUCUCAUAAGACCACACCAUCUGAGUCUUUUAAGAGGGCAAAGAGUGUUUCACAACUCACUCACUCUUCAUCCAUUGAGCAAGACAUGGUGAGUGAUAAAUCCAGCUCCACUCAAGAACUCUUUUGUGACUAUGUAGCCGGUAAUGAUCAUGAUACUACCACAAAAAACGCCGAGACGCUUCAGAGUUUUAAGAAGACACCAGUAAAAUCUUUUGAUAAACAGUCAACAAUUGACAAUAUGCCAAGCCCCAAAGAAUCCCCCCAAAAAAUGUUUUCCACCCAAAAAAUUACUGUUAUGUAUACAAAAAACCUCAGUCAAAAAUUGCCCGUCACUUUAAAAAGCAUCAAGACAGUGAGACAGAAAUUGCUGCCGCAUUCUUGCUCCCUAAACACUCCCAGGACCGAAGAAAGUUACUUGAGAAGCUACGGAACAGAGGCAACUAUGAACAUAAUCAAGAGGUUAUGGAAAAUAAAAGUGGACCACUGAAAAUUAGAAGAAGGCCAGGAAGAUCAGAGAUUAAACUGAGAGCCAAAACAUAUGUGCCCUGUGUGUACUGUAAAGGCCUGUUUGUUCGCAAGGAGCUGUGGCGCCAUACAUGGAGAUGUCCUUCAAAGAUGUCUUCAGAGUCUGAAGCAACUGGUAAAGCCAAAGUCUUAGUUUUGGCUGAUAUGUCAGAAUCAACUUUUUCCCAAGCAGUAUCUCCUGAGGUGUGGAAGAUCUUGGGAAAUAUGAAGAAUGAUGACAUUUCAUCUGUAGUUCGAAAUGAUUUUCUCAUACUCCAGUUGAGUCAGUGUCUUUACAACAAGUAUGGAAGUGAUCCAACAAAAUCCGAAUACAUCAGACAGAAGGUCCGGGAAAUGGGCAGACUCUUGCUAAGCUUAAGAAAAAAAUACUCCAUAUUUAGUUUUGAAGAUGCUGUGAAACCAAAUCAUUUUUACAAAGUCAUAGAGGCUGUGAAAGAUGUUGCUGGUUACGAUGAGAAGAGCCACUUGUAUAAGACACCAAGUCUUGCACUGAAGUUAGGACAUUCUCUCAACAAGAUUGGUGACAUUAUUCUUUGCAGGGCCAUCACAGAAGAGAAUGAUGGUAUGACUGAAGCAGCAGAGCGAUUCAAAAGACUGUGCUCAAGUGAAUGGGCAGAACACAUCUCCCAUGCUGCUCUUGCUACUUUGAGCAAAUCAAAGUUCAACAAACCAUCUACUAUACCAUUCACACAGGAUGUGCAGCUUCUCCACCAAUACCUAGAGAAGAAAUCUGCUGAUGCUUUUGAGCCUAAAGCCUAAAACAUCAUGAGUCUUCACAAACAUAUGCAGAACUUGCCAAAGUGACACUUGUACAAGUAAUAGUCUUCAACAGACGUCGUGCAGGAGAGGUCUCUAAAAUGAUGCUUGAGUCUUUCAAGAAAAAAGACCAGACUGAACUCCAUGAGGACAUAGCUGUCGGUCUCUCUCCAUUUGAGCAAAAAAUGUCCAAGCAGUUCAGCAGAGUAGAAACAAUGGGCAAAAGAGGGAGAAAAGUUGCUAUUUUGUUAAACCCUGAACUUGUCAGAGCAAUACAACUUCUUGUAGACAAGAGAGAUGCAUGUGAAGUAGACAGGGACAACACCUUCCUGUUUGGAAGACCAAAGUGCUCAGCAACCAGCUUCUUUAGAGGACAAGACUGCAUCAGGUUGCCAGAUGCAACUAUAGAAAUUGCAAAAAUCUCAAAGCUGCUCCUGGCAAUGGAGAAAGGAACUCUCACAAGUUUCCAAGGAAAAUCUCUGGAUGAAAUUGAAAUUCAAGAUAUGCUUUUCUAUAGAUGAAAUAGAUGUGGAAUUAGAUGAGGAAGAAAUAAGUGAUGAAGAUGAUGAAGAUUCAGAUCCUGUCCAUGAAGUAAGGGGGAAAAGAAAAAAUAAUCAGAAUGAAGCUGAGAGCUCCAGAGUGGCCAAAUCAUGGAGCCCAGAUGAAGUGAAUGCUGUCAUGAAGCAUUUCAAAAGUCAUAUUUUAAAGGGACACCUUGCAACAAAGGCAGAGUGUGAGCAGUGCAAGAGGGCAGAGGACCCUGUUCUAAAAGAAAGAACGAUACAAAAUAUAAGGGAUUUUGUGAGGAACCGAGGUGUGCAGUUCAGGAAAUGUUCUUAGGCCAGGAUUAGUGUCGCCUUCCAUUAAUGCUUGUGGCUUUUGUUCAAGUUGUUGAUCCAGUGAUUUCACAAGAGAAAGAGUUCAAGACACCAUAUUUAUUUUUGUUAAAAUGCUGUUUUUACAGAAAUUUGCAAAUAAAUGUAUUUUAUUGGAGAAUACAGAAAUUUGGCUUCAUUUCCACUGGUACCAUGUUUUAAGGCACAUUCUUUGAUGCAACUUAUUCCCAUGAAGGUCAAUCUCAUUGUUGAGGAUUUUUUAAUUUAUACUUUAUAAUUAAAAAAAUCUUUAUUUUAUACUAUCUUUUUACCUUUUCGUUGGUCCUGUUUGAAGUGUACAACUUGCUGAUUUUUAAUCACUGAACUUUCUCCACCAAGGCUAAUUUAACGUAAUUUGCAUUUUGCACCAAAUGUAUACAUGUUGCAUGAUAUAGCAGCGGCUCCAUGUAGCACUGUCCUUAGGUGUGCAUGUUUCUUCUGCAGGUUUUUGUGGCAGCAAAAAGAUUGUGAAUUUACUUUUCACUUUAGAAGAUCUGAUUUGGUUUAGUACUGUAUUUAGUUUGACUUAGUAGUUCAAAUUCAACUUCUUUUAAACAUUUGAAACAACCUUUUGUUGUCAGAUUGCAAUCAGAUUGUCCUCAUAAUCAAGGGUUAGUUAGGCUUGUAUGUGUGUGUAUAUGAGUGAUGUCCAGUGAAACCCAGAUUGUCCUCAUAAUCAAGGGUUAGUUGGCUGUGUGUGUAUGAGUGAUGUCCAGUGAA